rnacentral:rRNA from 1 species
AUCCGUGGAGCCGCAGGUGAAAUACCGCUCUGUUCUCGUUUGAUGUCUAACCUCGACAAGUCAUCCUUGUCAGGGACAGUGCCUGGCGGGUAGUUUAACUGGGGCGGUUGCCUCCCAAAGAGUAACGGAGGCGCUCAAAGGUCCGCUCAGCCCGGUUGGCAAUCGGGUGUCGAGUGCAAUCGCACAAGCGGGCUUGACUGCGAGACCGACGGGUCGAGCGAGGGACGAAAGUCGGAGAUAGUGAUCCGGUGCCGGCGUACGGACGCGGCAUCGCUCAACGGAUAAAAGGUACCCCGGGGAUAACAGGCUGAUCAUUCCCAAGAGUCCAUAUCGACGGGAUGGUUUGGCACCUCGAUGUCGGCUCGUCGCAUCCUGGGGCCGGAGCAGGUCCCAAGGGUUCGGCUGUUCGCCGAUUAAAGCGGCACGCGAGCUGGGUUCAGAACGUCGUGAGACAGUUUGGUCUCUAUCCUCUGCGCUCGUCGGAACCUUGAGGAGGCCUGCCCAUAGUACGAGAGGACCUGGGUGGACGAACCUCUGGUGUGCCAGUCGUCACGCCAGUGGCGCGGCUGGUUGGCUACGUUCGGAAGGGAUAACCGCUGAAAGCAUCUAAGCGGGAAGCCUGCUCCAAGAUAAGGGUUCCAUGGAUCCUCGGAUCCUGUAGUCCCCAUGCAGAACACGUGGUUGAUAGGCCGGACGUGGAAGCCCCGCGAGGGGUGGAGCUGACCGGUACUAACGGACGA